GACGAACGCUGGCGGCGCGCUUAACACAUGCAAGUCGAGCGAGAACCAUGGCUUCGGCCAUGGGGACAGCGGCGAACGGGUGAGUAACACGUGGGCAAUCUGCCCUCGGCACUGGGAUAGCCCGGGGAAACCCGGAUUAAUACCAGAUAGCCUCUCGAGCUCACGGGCUCGUGAGAAAAGAUGGCUUCGGCUUUCGGCUGAGGAGGAGCCUGCGGCGGAUUAGCUUGUUGGCGGGGUAACGGCCCACCAAGGCGACGAUCUGUAGCUGGUCUGAGAGGACGAUCAGCCACACUGGGACUGAGACACGGCCCAGACUCCUACGGGAGGCAGCAGUGGGGAAUCUUGCGCAAUGGGACGAAAGCCUGACGCAGCGACGCCGCGUGAGGGAAGAAGG
rnacentral:rRNA from 1 species